GACGAACGCUGGUGGCGUGCUUAACACAUGCAAGUCGAACGGAAAGGCCCUGCUUUUGUGGGGUGCUCGAGUGGCGAACGGGUGAGUAACACGUGAGUAACCUGCCCUUGACUUUGGGAUAACUUCAGGAAACUGGGGCUAAUACCGGAUAGGAGCUCCUGCUGCAUGGUGGGGGUUGGAAAGUUUCGGCGGUUGGGGAUGGACUCGCGGCUUAUCAGCUUGUUGGUGGGGUAGUGGCUUACCAAGGCUUUGACGGGUAGCCGGCCUGAGAGGGUGACCGGCCACAUUGGGACUGAGAUACGGCCCAGACUCCUACGGGAGGCAGCAGUGGGGAAUAUUGCACAAUGGGCGGAAGCCUGAUGCAGCAACGCCGCGUGCGGGAUGACGGCCUUCGGGUUGUAAACCGCUUUCGCCUGUGACGAAGCGUGAGUGACGGUAAUGGGUAAAGAAGCACCGGCUAACUACGUGCCAGCAGCCGCGGUGAUACGUAGGGUGCGAGCGUUGUCCGGAUUUAUUGGGCGUAAAGGGCUCGUAGGUGGUUGAUCGCGUCGGAAGUGUAAUCUUGGGGCUUAACCCUGAGCGUGCUUUCGAUACGGGUUGACUUGAGGAAGGUAGGGGAGAAUGGAAUUCCUGGUGGAGCGGUGGAAUGCGCAGAUAUCAGGAGGAACACCAGUGGCGAAGGCGGUUCUCUGGGCCUUUCCUGACGCUGAGGAGCGAAAGCGUGGGGAGCGAACAGGCUUAGAUACCCUGGUAGUCCACGCUGUAAACGGUGGGUACUAGGUGUGGGGUCCAUUCCACGGGUUCCGUGCCGUAGCUAACGCUUUAAGUACCCCGCCUGGGGAGUACGGCCGCAAGGCUAAAACUCAAAGGAAUUGACGGGGCCCCGCACAAGCGGCGGAGCAUGCGGAUUAAUUCGAUGCAACGCGUAGAACCUUACCUGGGUUUGACAUGGAUCGGGAGCGCUCAGAGAUGGGUGUGCCUCUUUUGGGGUCGGUUCACAGGUGGUGCAUGGCUGUCGUCAGCUCGUGUCGUGAGAUGUUGGGUUAAGUCCCGCAACGAGCGCAACCCUUGUUCACUGUUGCCAGCACGUUAUGGUGGGGACUCAGUGGAGACCGCCGGGGGUCAACUCGGAGGAAGGUGGGGAUGACGUCAAGUCAUCAUGCCCCUUAUGUCCAGGGCUUCACGCAUGCUACAAUGGCUGGUACAGAGAGUGGCGAGCCUGUGAGGGUGAGCGAAUCUCGGAAAGCCGGUCUCAGUUCGGAUUGGGGUCUGCAACUCGACCUCAUGAAGUCGGAGUCGCUAGUAAUCGCAGAUCAGCAACGCUGCGGUGAAUACGUUCCCGGG
rnacentral:rRNA from 1 species